rnacentral:lncRNA from 1 species
UCUAGUAGUGCUCCCCGUGAGAUCUGCCUCUGGCCAGGACAGGAUAUCCGAGUCAGCAGGCGUCCUGGCUCCAAGUCCAUGGGUAGUCCCUGGUCACCGUCUGGGGGUGAUGGCACCUGCAGCCAGUGGCACAGGUAGAGGCCCAGUCACAGCAACUGGCAUCUGAUGCAGAAUGAAAUCCCAGUAGAGGAGGAGGAGGAGGAAGAAGAGAGAACUCCAGGAAACACACGUCUUCAUAACACAGAAGAAUUUCAUUCUGUGAGCUCCAUUCCACAACCCAUUGGGGGUGUGGGGAGAGGCUGGGCAGUGGAGUGCGGGUGGAGCAUGAGUCAUAGAAUUAUAGUCGCCUAACAGUCACAGUCACAUGGGCCACCAGACUCCUCUCUCCCAGCAACCCUAUAAGGGAAAUAUUAUCAUCUCCGCUUUACAGACUUAGCAAUACAGGCCCAGAGAGGUCAGGCAGGUUGUCAAAGGUCACACAGCCAGCACAUGGCAGCAGUAGGAUUUGAACCCAAGCUGUCUGGCUCUAGGUCCAUGCUCAGCCCCCAUGCUGUGGAGAGCUUCUUAGAGCUUAGAGCUUUCUAGAUGGCCCAGAUCUGUGACUUUCUGGCCACAGAACCUAAGAACCUUCCCUUCCAAAACAGUGUCCUACAGAGCCCAACUCACAGAACAGAAACAAGCAGUUCUGUGUGAGGUGAGGCAAGUCCCUGCCCUCCGCACUCUGAAGGAGAGCCCUCUGCCCGUUUUCCCCGCUCCAGCCCCGUCAUUUUAUAGCUGAGGCCCAGAAAGGGGUUGAGGAGCUAAAGGCCCCAUAGCCAGGCUGGAAAUGGGACAAAACCCAGCAUGCUUUUUUGCUUUCUUUUUUCUUUGUAGAGACAGGGUCUUGCGUAGUCACCCAGGCUGGAGUGCAGUGGCGCUAUCAUAGCUCACUGCAGCCUCUACCUCCUGAGCACAGCAAUUCUCCCGCCUCAGCCACCCGAGUAGCUGGGACUACAGGCAUGCCCG